GAGCCUCCCAUUUUGUAGGGGAGGCCGGCUCCUCCCGCCGAAGGUGACAAGGAGACAGCAGCCGAUAGCCAUAACCCCGCAAAUGAUCCCUGCCUACGUGCCUUGCCGUGAAUCCCCUGAACAAAGCCCUCGUGCCAAGAGUCAGGCAGGGGAACUACAGUUCGCUCAGUGCUUUGGCCCACAUCCUGAUGCCACAACAUUUCACAGGAGUUUUGCUCUUGGGACUCCUCCCUUGAGCGUAUGUAAGACGCUGGCUGGUUUCCUGAGCUCCUAGAACAGCUUCACCGGGACAGAUUCUCUCCUGAGGGACUAGGAAGCCCCCCAGCUCUCUCAUUAGCAUCCUGUCAUAUAGAAAAGCACAUGAAAAACAAGCGCUGACACGCAUGGGGGAGAGGACGCUGGUUUGAAGAGCUCGAGGAAGCCCUGCAGAGCACAGAGCAGUCCUGUGAGCACCAACUCUGGGCACCUUCUCUACUCGCUGCCCUGCACAUAGUCCAGGAUUUGUCUACACCACAGCCCUCAGCCCUAAACCUGGGCACCAGAAGCUGUCUCGCUGGGGCAGCCCGGAGCUCCAGGUGGCUGUCGUGAUGUCUACCCCUUUCCGCCUCUGGGACACUGGCCUGGUACACCAUGUGAGCACAGCACCUACGGCCAGCGGGAGGAUUUUGGAGAGGCUUGUCUUGCAAGAAGCACCUUUAUUAAAGAGAGGGCAACCAAGUCCUGCUCUUAGUAGCAGUCCUCCUUCAGAAAUGAUGACAACCCCAGGUCCUUGUUAGCCUGGAGGGUUCAGAUUAGCUUCACGCUCCCCCUGGCCUGGCAGUAGCUGCUCCAGCUUCCAACAGUGCAGCUCCGGACUAAAGUCAGGCAAGAAGUACACCAAAACCAAGGCUGCAGGUUGCACUUGGGCUGCCCCAGUCCAGAGGCAAGUGAACCUAAUACAGAGAGAACCAGUGAGUCCCCCAGGUGGGGACCAGGCCUUGAGCCUUGGGGUCACUGGCAAGGCACUGAGGUCACGUUCCCUCGAGCAGUGCCAGGUUACAAGCAGUGGGGAGUGCCACUCCUGAUACCCCGUUGCCUGGGCUGUGCCUGCCAAAAGAAAGGCAAGGCCAUGAUGUUUCGGUCCAGCCUGGUUUCCAGUGACCUCCUGCAGCACAAGCCCGAGGCUGCCCUGUUGCUAAUUCUGCUUUGGUCUCAGUGCCCCGCGGCAGGACGCCCGGUGCCAAAGAUACCUUGGCCGUGGUUGCCCACUGACACCUGACCUCCACCUCCAGCUACAACCCCAGACAAAAAUAAACCGGGAAAGGCAAGGACAACGACAGGCCAUGCCGAGCCCAUUGUCCCAGAGACAAUGCUAGCUCUGAAUGAGGGGCUGGUGAGGAAUCCAGAUAACCCCUCCAUGUACUGCCGGGCCCCUCCAGCCUUCUCCAGCAGUGAAAUCCUGGCUCUCCAAGGCAGAGAGAGAGGAGUCCACAGCUCUCCCCAUACUCGCUGGCCAGGUUGGACAAUGUUUUCCCACUCAAUCUUUUUUUCUUUCUCAGCACAAAAUUGGGAUUUGACGGCGUGAAAAGAUGUGUGUCCCUUGACAUUUUUCAGGUUUCUUUAGAAAAGUAAAA